AAAUUUUCCGUUUUAUGAGAUUAUGCCGGAGAAGGUUUUCUGGUUUGCCCCGGAGGGCUUGUAGCUCAGUUGGUUAGAGCGCGCGCUUGAUAAGCGUGAGGUCGGAGGUUCAAGUCCUCCCAGGCCCACCAUCUUUAUAAGUGCUUAUAAUGGCACUUAUGAAAAGUUUGUUCCGGUUUUCACUUUUUCUUAAAGACAGUUCAAACUCUAAGGGGUAAAUAAC
rnacentral:misc_RNA from 1 species